CUCGCCGUAUCCAUUUAUGGUUAUAAAGAUCGCUGCAAUUGGGUUAAUUUGUCUGUACUGCCGGAAUUGUAUUGGAAAAUGGCUCAGCUACAAACAACUGCCUUUGUUAAUUAACUAACAAUAAUUCCGGGAAUAAUUUAAUCAUAAGCAUAACAAAAAACGAAUGCUACCUAAUAAAGUUCACCGUCAAAAUAAAGCGCUGCUGAAGCUC
rnacentral:sRNA from 1 species